GUUUUUUGAGACAGGGUUUCUCUCUGUAGCCCUGGCUGUAGACCAGGCUGACCUCGAACUCAGAAAUCGGCCUGCCUCUGCCUCCCGAGUGCUGGGAUUAAAGGCAGGCGCCACCACGCCCGACUAGUUUUUCUUCUUAAGAUAAUAGAAAGAUUGCAUAUCUAGAUUUACUUUGAACAGACCUAACUUACACCUUUUAUCACUACAUAACUAUUAUUCUUGCUUUGGAAGUUAAUAUUUGUAGUCAUUUCUGUGUGGAGGUUUAUAGAUAGGAUUCAUAUAAGUGAAUAUUCUUAAAUAGUUCUUAAAAUUAUGAGCUGAAAAGGUCUGGAGAGAUGGGUCAGCAGUUGAGAACACUGGCUGCUCUUGCAGAAGACCUGGUUUUGUUUCCCAGCACCUAUGUGGUGGCUCACAACCAUCUGUGACUCCUGUAUCUGGUACUCUCUUCUGACCUCCAGGGGCACUGGGUAUGCAUGUGGUAUGCAUACAUAUAUUUAGAUGAAACACCCAUACAGAUAAAUAAAUCUGAAUUUUUUUCAGAAAAUAUAAGCUGACAGGAACAGUUCUAAGACAUAGUCAAAUAGUUGACAGGAAGUGUAUUGUUCCUCUUUUCCUCAAAACAUUCAUCUGAACACAUGUAUGAACCUCAUUCAUUGAAUGAAGAGUAGAGGAGGCUACUUCAGACAAAGACAGAAGAGACCUCUGAGAAUGCUAAUGUUUUUAAUAUAAUCACAUUAGUAGUAACAUGAAAACAAAUAGUGAUUAGUCAUGGCUUCUGUAAUUAAAGAUCUGCUCACUGUCUAACGAAUCAAAAUUCUAUUCUGUAAGGUUGUUACAGGAACACAUUAGUAUAAUUCCGUGCUCUUCCAAGUAAUAGUGGAACACUAACUAGUAUCUAAUAUGUUGACUGCUUCUUUUCUUAAGGCACUGGUAUGAGUACAGCCCGUCAACAACCUAACCCUGUAAACUUAUUUUAGAAUGACACUUGAAGUGGAUACUAGUGAGGUUUCAAAAUUUAUCCAGUUAACUUGAAAAUAGCAGAAUAGAGAAUGCCAGAUACUUUUCUGGCCUGAUUUCUUUGUUAACCACAUUGAAGUGGGUAUGUACCUACUAAGAAGGCUGUCAUAGGAUUGUGUACAUGCAUAGCAGCAUCUUAGAAGACUUUUUCUGUCCUCAGUGUCAAGUUCAGAGAUCUGGGAGCUUGUAAGAGCAGAAUUAGGUGUUCUUUCAUCCAUUCAACUAAGGUGUCAUAUCCACUGGAAUUGCAUUAUCUUAUGCUUAACUGACAGGUUUGAAAUAAUUGAAAAUUAGAAUAAAAUACUAUAAAAUU
rnacentral:lncRNA from 1 species